GACAGAGGGGGCAAGCGUUGCUCGGAAUUACUGGGCGUAAAGGGCGCGUAGGCGGCCGGACAAGUCGGGUGUGAAAUCCCUCGGCUCAACCGAGGAACUGCAUUCGAUACUGUCUGGCUCGAGUCCGGGAGGGGAUGGUGGAAUUCCCAGUCGUAGCGGUGAAAUGCGUAGAUAUUGGGAAGAACACCGGUGGCGAAGGCGACCAUCUGGACCGGAACUGACGCUGAGG
rnacentral:rRNA from 1 species